GACGAACGCUGGCGGCGUGCUUAACACAUGCAAGUCGAACGGAAAGGCCCUGCUUUUGUGGGGUGCUCGAGUGGCGAACGGGUGAGUAACACGUGAGUAACCUGCCCUUGACUUUGGGAUAACUUCAGGAAACUGGGGCUAAUACCGGAUAGGAGCUCCUGCUGCAUGGUGGGGGUUGGAAAGUUUCGGCGGUUGGGGAUGGACUCGCGGCUUAUCAGCUUGUUGGUGGGGUAGUGGCUUACCAAGGCUUUGACGGGUAGCCGGCCUGAGAGGGUGACCGGCCACAUUGGGACUGAGAUACGGCCCAGACUCCUACGGGAGGCAGGAGUGGGGAAUAUUGCACAAUGGGCGGAAGCCGGAUGCAGCAACGCCGCGUGCGGGAUGACGGCCUUCGGGUUGUAAACCGCUUUCGCCUGUGACGAAGCGUGAGUGACGGUAAUGGGUAAAGAAGCACCGGCAAACUACGG
rnacentral:rRNA from 1 species